rnacentral:rRNA from 1 species
GACGAACGCUGGCGGCGUGCCUAAUACAUGCAAGUUGAGCGCUUAAGGUUGGUCCUUGUACCAACUGGAUGAGCAGCGAACGGGUGAGUAACGCGUGGGGAAUCUGCCUUUGAGCGGGGGACAACAUUUGGAAACGAAUGCUAAUACCGCAUAAAAACUUUAAACACAAGUUUUAAGUUUGAAAGAUGCAAUUGCAUCACUCAAAGAUGAUCCCGCGUUGUAUUAGCUAGUUGGUGAGGUAAAGGCUCACCAAGGCGAUGAUACAUAGCCGACCUGAGAGGGUGAUAGGCCACAUUGAGACUGAGACACGGCCCAAACUCCUACGGGAGGCAGCAGUAGGGAAUCUUCGGCAAUAGACGAAAGUCUGACCGAGCAACGCCGCGUGAGUGAAGAAGGUUAUCGGAUCGUAAAACUCUGUUGGUAGAGAAGAACGUUGGUGAGAGUGGAAAGCUCAUCAAGUGACGGUAACUACCCAGAAAGGGACGGCUAACUAAGUG